rnacentral:misc_RNA from 1 species
AAGGGAAACCUUGUGAAACAAUGAUGUCAAGUUUCUUUGCUAUUGAGAACAGCUUACCGUUCGCAAGGAGCAAUGCUUUUAACAUUAUGAACCAGAUUUUAAAGUUUGCAAAGAGGAUGGUUAGGAAACUACCUUUGAAAUGGCUGCUUGUUCAACAAGAAAUCCAGAAGUUGAAAGUGGAACAUAUCUAUUUACCAACCAAAGAGUCUUCUACACACGUUUGAAACCAUUAAACUUGGUGUUAAUCGGUGCAAGCUUUUUCUUCAUCAAGUGAUCGCUUUAGUUGAGCGUUGUGGGGUCCAAAUAGAUGCCCAAAUGGUGCUGCUUGAGUAUUUAUACGACCUUGGCGAGAUUCUCUACUUUCCUGAUGACGACGCCUUAAAGGACAUUAUGUUUAAGACAACAAUCAUCAGACGAAAAAUCUUCAAUGCCCCUCAGCUUACCAAGGAAGAUGAACCAUCGCCGAUAGUAUGUACGAAGGU